ACUGGGGUAGCUCAGUUUGUAGAGCAUGAGGCUCUUAUUCUCAGGGUUGCAGAUUCAAGCCCCACGUUGGGUA